AAGAAAGUUGCAAGUGGGUUGCGGUUGGUUUGAAGUCAAAAGAAGGAGGUUCGAUUCCUCCCUUUCUUU
rnacentral:tRNA from 1 species